UAGAAAAACCAGUUCUAGACCGCUAGAUUGGAGAUGGAUGGCAGAGGUGCUUCAGCCGCAAAAUUACAUGUUUAUGUGCAAAAACGUCCCUCCUUCCUAGUUAAUUUCCGCCCGAUGUCCUCCUCGUCCAAAAACCGAUUCCCCUCCGGCCGCGGCGGCAGCGCAGAUCCAAGAAUUCCCGGGCGGCGGCGUUCGUUUAGAUCCAGAGCCAAGCUGGGUCACGACGCCCAGUCGUGGUGCCGUUCCACCUCCGCUUCGAUGGCUCCCGCGGCUUAGUUUGAGGCGGAAUAAAUGGAAGCUCAUCGGCGUACGGCAAGCCGGUGGUGGGAUCGUCGUCUCCUUGCCCUCACAGGCCCUAGGAUCUACUCGUGGGCGUGCUCCCUACCUCCUCCUCUCAAGAUCUAGCAGUAGCUCGAAACGCUCCUCGCCUUCUUCCAGACCAACCACUGGAUUUCUGCAUGUCUUGUGCCGGCACUGUCGGCUGAAUUAAAGAGAUAUGCAGAGGCACUCUGUCGCCGAGUUGCGGGUGUGGAUUUGGAGCCGCUGGAAAAUACACAGGUGUGGUUGCGCUUGGUUGAUCUGAACAGUGGAAAGACAUCGUCCUCAUUAAAUUACACAUGAAGAUGCUACCAAGUUGCGUCACAACCUGGACGAAUGAUGAAUUCUCGCACUGUUGCAUGCUACUGGAAGACAUCACUGUGAUUCGGGAUUCCUGUGCACCAGACAUGUGUGUGGAGGCAAUAUCCGAAUGGACUUGUAGGUAAUUGGUGUUUUCCCAUAGAACCAUUUUUGUUGCAUAUUUAGUCUAUAAUUUCAAGUGAUUAUGAACUUGCUAUCACAGGGUACCUUGUUCAAAAUUGGGUGAACUGCUCACUGGCUGGAUUGUGUUACUGGGUAAUGUAGUUGAGUAGCAAUUAUGAACUGGCUAUCACACUGGACCAUUUUCUAAAAUGUGAUGACUUGUUUAGUGCCAGGAUGGGGUUAGUGGAGGUUGUAACCAUGCUCUUAUGAACUGCAAGUACUUGAUUUUCAGUUUGCAGGGAUGUGUCCCUGUUCGUGGCAACUUAACCGAUAAAAUCUUCAUAAGAUAAAGUUUAUCUUUCUCACACUGCUCCGGAGAGUAUCCGUGGGCUUCUGAUGUUGAGAAGGUUGUUUAUGUGGAAAAACAAUGGGUGCUUUUCCAGUGUGAGUGUAGGAUAAUGUCAGACCCAAAGUAUCUUCUUGUUCUGAAUAAUUGGUUUGCAUUAGGUAAUGAGGGUUUCAGUUUUAUUUUUCAUCUUACUCAAGUCCUUACAUGAUGAUUGAAAUAAUUGCCUUGCUCUUAAAAAUUGAUGUUUGAAGAUGUUAACCAGCAUGUUUGCAACUUCCUUGCAUGUUCUUGAGCAAUAUUUGGACCCAUCCUCCCAUAAAGCGGUCUGGAGACCCUCGUCCUAAUCUUUUUCGUCUGAGGCACGUUACAGGAAGCACUAUUACUGAAGACCGAGGGGUCCAACUUUUCUGCCAUGUAUCAUUUGGAAGCACUAGAACUGGAGGCAAAAGUCUGUUGAAAUUAUUAAUAGUAAUGCUUGUUGAGUGGUGAUCAUUUUAGUUUACAAUACUCAGUCUUGCCGGUCAUAUACUGAAAAUGAUCCUCUCAUGAUUUUGCCGGUCAUAUCACUUGACAUGUACUGAAAAGUCUGUUAUGUUUUGUUUCUAGAAAUGUACAUGGAUUAUCCAAUUUUAGAGAUAUGUUUAGUAAUGCUUGAA